GACGAACCGUGCGAACGUUGUUCGGAAUCACUGGGCUUAAAGGGCGCGUAGGCGGCUCGCGAGGUCGGGGUGAAAUCCCACGGCUUAACCGUGGAAGGGCCUCCGAUACCGGCGGGCUGGAGGAAGGUAGGGGUGCGCGGAACUUCUGGUGGAGCGGUGAAAUGCGUUGAUAUCAGAAGGAACGCCGGCGGCGAAAGCGGCGCACUGGACCUUUUCUGACGCUGAGGCGCGAAAGCCAGGGGAGCAAACGGG
rnacentral:rRNA from 1 species